UUGUUUGCUUGGUAGGGGAGACACCAUAGUCAUGGAAAUUGGUUAUCCUAGGGCGAAGCCAAUCCUUUGCACUCCAGAUGUGCCUAUCCCUGUAAUUUCCCAGGAACCUCAGCUGCAUAAUUUUUGGUAGGAGGAGACUGUCUGCACCUUUCCCUG
rfam:Gavia stellata contig6982, whole genome shotgun sequence.